rnacentral:tRNA from 1 species
AAGAACUUAAGUUAAUUAAACUAAUAACCUUCAAAGUUAUAAAUAAAAGCUUAUCUUU